rnacentral:misc_RNA from 1 species
GUAAACUAAGCUUCGAGACUAAGACAAUAAAGAGAGGAGAAGAUGAUCACUUGAAGCACUUGGCAUCCAACAGCGCCUCACCCUCAAAAGGCUCCUGAUCCUCAAUCAUAGCACUGACCCGCUCCUUCUGAGCCUCAUCAGUGAUAUCAACCUUGGUCCACUCAUAUAGGGGGUAGUCCACGCAAUCGUCCUUCACAAGCUGAGGAAAGUCCUUUCCACGAAAGAGCCACACCCCCUUCACCUUGAAAGGGGCCUCCGAGCCGAUGAUCAGCAUCUUCCCGAAAGCAUACUUCCUAGCCAGAUCCAUACGCUGCAGAAAACCACCCACCUUGUUCAAUGUCACAUAUGUCACCGUGUUCUCCUCAUUGUACUUGUAGU